AGCUCAUCACAUGUCCAUCUCCUCGUCCCACUUGGCGGCGUCAGGCAACUUCAUGUUUUGUCACAUGAAAUCAAGGAACAUGGAGGCCUGCAGUAACCGGCCCAGCCUCUGGAAGUGCCGUGUAUGGUAGGAGAGACUCCACAGCUGCUUUGAUCCCUUCGUAUUGCAAGAGGCUCUCUGGCGUCUCAUGCUUGAGGAGGGUUUCCACCACUGCCUGAGCCUUGAGGUAGUUCCGCGAGUUUGUGUUCCACGUGAUGGAAAACUUCAACACAGCCUCUGGAAGAAGGGGUUUGGGGAAGACACGUCAGGAAGGAGUGCAAGUUGCAGGCAGCGUGGCCACCUUGAACCAACACAUCUCUCUUGCGAAGCGUGGCCAGGUCUGGGCACACAUCUGACCUGCGCCUUUCUUCAAGGCAGGGAAGCAGAUCCAACACCCCUCCCCACCUAGUAGAAACCAUUAAUGAUGGGAGGGGUGACUGGGUUUAUUCCAGACUACAUGGCUUGCAGGAAU